rnacentral:rRNA from 1 species
UACGUAGGCAGCGAGCGUUGUUCGGAGUUACUGGGCGUAAAGGGUGUGUAGGCGGUCUUUUAAGUUUGGUGUGAAAUCUCCCGGCUUAACCGGGAGGGUGCGCCGAAUACUGAGGGACUAGAGUGCGGGAGAGGAAAGUGGAAUUCCUGGUGUAGCGGUGAAAUGCGUAGAUAUCGGGAAGAACACCCGUGGCGAAGGCGGCUCUCUGGGACGGUACUGACGCUGAGACGCGAAAGCGUGGGGAGCGAACAGG